rnacentral:rRNA from 1 species
GACGAACGCUGGCGGCGUGCCUAAUACAUGCAAGUCGAACGCAGUGGGGACGGGUGAGUAACACGUGGGUAACCUCCCAUCAGAGGGGAUAACACUUGGAAACAGGUGCUAAACCGAUACUGAUGGAUGGACCCGCGGUGCAUUAGCUAGUUGGUGGGGUAACGGCUCACCAAGGCCACGAGGCAUAGCCGCCCUGAGAGGAGGAUCGGCAACACUGGGACUGAGACACGGCCCAGACUCCUACGGGAGGCAGCAGUAGGGAAUAUUGGGCAAUGGGCGCAAGUCUGACCGAGCAACGCCGCGUGAGUGAAGAAGGUUUUCGGAUCGUAAAGCUCUGUUAUUAGGGAAGCGGUACCUAAUCAGAAAGCCACGGCUAACUACGUGCCAGCAGCCGCGGUAAUUC